rnacentral:rRNA from 1 species
GGAUUAGAUACCCUGGUAGUCCACGCCGUAAACGAUGUCGACUAGCCGUUGGGCUCCUUGAGAGCUUUGUGGCGCAGUUAACGCGAUAAGUCGACCGCCUGGGGAGUACGGCCGCAAGGUUAAAACUCAAAUGAAUUGACGGGGGCCCGCACAAGCGGUGGAGCAUGUGGUUUAAUUCGAUGCAACGCGAAGAACCUUACCUACCCUUGACAUCGAGAGAACUUUCCAGAGAUGGAUUGGUGCCUUCGGGAACUCUCAGACAGGUGCUGCAUGGCUGUCGUCAGCUCGUGCUG